AAUUAGGGAAAGCUUUGGCUUUGUUCAGUAAUUUUUAUCUUAUAGACUUGAUUAAACAUUUCAAAAAAGCUUUUUAAAAAAUCUGUUUAAAGCAGUAUUUUAAAAAUGCUAACAGAAAAUGUAUAUAAAAUUAGGCUCAACUAUGCUCAUGAACCACUUGACCUAAUUUUAGUUUUCUCAUGACUUGAGAAGAUUGAACUCAUCCUGAAUAUUAAAAGACUUGCUAGGUGAAGCAGCCUGUGGGCUGUCACCAACCUUCUGAAGGCUUUAGGCUCCUUUACAACUGGGCUCUGCUUUCACCUGGGUUAAGGACAUCGUCUCAUAUUUUAGCUUUCUUCCUAGAGACUGCGUUUUUCUCUACUUCUUUCUGCUGAUACCAUUCCUGCAUGACCUGU
rnacentral:lncRNA from 1 species